GAUGAACGCUAGCGAUAGGCCUAACACAUGCAAGUCGAGGGGCAGCACAUGAGUAGCAAUACGAUGGUGGCGACCGGCGCACGGGUGAGUAACACGUAUGCAACCUACCUCUAACAGGGGGAUAACCCGUUGAAAGACGGACUAAUACCCCAUAAUACAGGGGCUCCGCAUGGAGAUAUUUGUUAAAGAUUUUAUCGGUUAGAGAUGGGCAUGCGUUCCAUUAGCUAGUUGGUGAGGUAACGGCUCACCAAGGCGACGAUGGAUAGGGGAACUGAGAGGUUUAUCCCCCACACUGGAACUGAGACACGGUCCAGACUCCUACGGGAGGCAGCAGUGAGGAAUAUUGGUCAAUGGGGGCAACUCUGAACCAGCCAAGUCGCGUGAAGGAUGAAGGUCUUAUGGAUUGUAAACUUCUUUUGCAGGGGAAUAAAUAGCGGUACGUGUACCGUUUUGCAUGUACCCUGCGAAUAAGGAUCGGCUAACUCCGUG
rnacentral:rRNA from 1 species